rnacentral:miRNA from 1 species
UUUGGGAGGCCAAGGCAAGUGGAUCGCUUGAGCUCAGAAGUUUGAGACCACUCUGGGCAACAUAGUGAAACCUCAUCUCUACAAAGA